UUUUAGUUGGGUUAAUUGUAGUCGCACCCUACGCGGGUGCGUGGAUUGAAAGUCCGGGCACGCCGGACGUUGAAAC
rnacentral:tRNA from 1 species